UACGGGGGGGGCAAGCGUUGUUCGGAAUUACUGGGCGUAAAGGGUUUGUAGGUGGCUUGUUAAGUCAGACGUGAAAUCCCUCGGCUUAACCGGGGAACUGCGUCCGAUACUGGUUGGCUUGAGUUUGGGAGAGGGAUGCGGAAUUCCAGGUGUAGCGGUGAAAUGCGUAGAUAUCUGGAGGAACACCGGUGGCGAAGGCGGCAUCCUGGACCAAUACUGACGCUGAGGAGCGAAAGCCAGGGGAGCAAACGGG
rnacentral:rRNA from 1 species